rnacentral:rRNA from 1 species
UAGGGAAUCUUCCGCAAUGGACGAAAGUCUGACGGAGCAACGCCGCGUGAGUGAAGAAGGAUUUCGGUUCGUAAAACUCUGUUGUUAGGGAAGAAAAAAUGUAUAGUAACUAUAUACAAACGAGACGGUACCUAACCAGAAAGCCACGGCUAACUACGUGCCAGCAGCCGCGGUAAUACGUAGGUGGCAAGCGUUGUCCGGAAUUAUUGGGCGUAAAGCGCGCGCAGGUGGUUUAGAAAGUCUGAUGUGAAAGCCCACGGCUCAACCGUGGAGGGUCAUUGGAAACUAAUAAACUUGAGUGCAGGAGAGAAAAGUGGAAUUCCUAGUGUAGCGGUGAAAUGCGUAGAGAUUAGGAGGAACACCGGUGGCGAAAGCGGCUUUUUGGCCUGCAACUGACACUGAGGCGCGAAAGCGUGGGGAGCAAACAGG